rnacentral:rRNA from 1 species
GACGAACGCUGGCGGCGUGCUUAACACAUGCAAGUCGAACGGUGAAGCGCCUUCCUUUUUGGUGGGUGUGGAUGAGUGGCGAACGGGUGAGCAACACGUGAGUAACCUUCCCCCUUCUUCUGGAUAACCGCAUGAAAGUGUGGCUAAUACGGGAUAUUCUGGGUCUGUCGCAUGAUGGGUCUGGUUAAGAUAUUGGUUCGGUGGGGGCUGGGCUCGCGGCCUAUCAGCUUGUUGGUGGGGUGAUGGCCUACCAAGGCUGUGGCGGGUAGCCGGCCUGGGAGGGUGGCCGGUCAGAGUGGGGAGGAGGCACGGCCACGACUGGUAUGGGACGCAGCCGUGGGGCAUAUGGGACAAUGGGGUAGAGACUGAUGGAGCGAGGCCGCGUGAGUGAUGGAGCCCUGCGGGGUGUGAAGCUCUUCCGUUAGUGAAGCAGGGCUGCCUUGUUUGUGGGGGGAUUGACGGUACCGGGAUAAGAAGCGCCGGCUAACUACGUG